GAUGAACGCUCGCUACAGGCUUAACACAUGCAAGUCGAGGGGCAGCAUGGUCUUAGCUUGCUAAGGCCGAUGGCGACCGGCGCACGGGUGAGUAACACGUAUCCAACCUGCCGUCUACUCUUGGACAGCCUUCUGAAAGGAAGAUUAAUACAAGAUGGCAUCAUGAGUCCGCAUGUUCACAUGAUUAAAGGUAUUCCGGUAGACGAUGGGGAUGCGUUCCAUUAGAUAGUAGGCGGGGUAACGGCCCACCUAGUCUUCGAUGGAUAGGGGUUCUGAGAGGAAGGUCCCCCACAUUGGAACUGAGACACGGUCCAAACUCCUACGGGAGGCAGCAGUGAGGAAUAUUGGUCAAUGGGCGCAGGCCUGAACCAGCCAAGUAGCGUGAAGGAUGACUGCCCUAUGGGUUGUAAACUUCUUUUAUAAAGGAAUAAAGUCGGGUAUGUAUACCCGUUUGCAUGUACUUGAUGAAUAAGGAUCGGCUAACUCCGUG
rnacentral:rRNA from 1 species